UGGUUUUCACCCCCAUUGAGACAGGAGCCAGUGGAGGGUCUGAACAGAGACCAACUUACCUGAGCUGACUUUCUUAAGACUGCCAGGAAGGCUCACGCAGGAACUUUGUGCACGGGACACCAUGUGGGGACAAGAGUGGGAACUGGAAACCAGUCUGAAGCCCAUUACAAUAACCCACGGGAGAAGGGAUGGGAACUCGGAUCAGGAUGGAAGACUGGAAGUGGUGACAAAGUGGUUCUAGAAGCUUCUGCAUGCCUUGGCCCAUGGCUCCACAUCUCUCCAACCUCUGUUUCCACCAUCAUACCUCUCUCUCUGACUAGGACCCUUCUGCCUCUCUCUUAUAAAGACCCUUGUGACUACAUUGGACCCACCCAAAUAAUCCAGGAGAAUCUCCCCAUCUCUAAGAUUAAAUUCAUGGUACUGACUUAA